rnacentral:rRNA from 1 species
CCUACGGGAGGCAGCAGUGGGGAAUAUUGCACAAUGGAGGGAACUCUGAUGCAGCGACGCCGCGUGAGUGAAGAAGUACUUCGUUAUGUAAAGCUCCAUUAGCAGGGAAGAAAGUGACGGUACCUGAAAAAGAAGCUCCGGCUAAAUACGUGCCAGCAGCCGCGGUAAUACGUAUGGAGCAAGCGUUAUCCGGAUUUACCGGGGGUAAAGGGGGAGUAGGGGGCGGGGCAAGCACGAAGUGAAUACCGAAAGCUCAAUUAUGGGAAUGCAUUAGAAACUGCUCAGCUAGAGUGCAGGAGAGGCAAGUGGAAUUCUUGGUGUAGCGGUGAAAUGCGUAGAUAUUAGGAGGAACACCAGUGGCGAAGGCGGCUUGCUGGACUGUAACUGACACUGAGGCUCGAAGGCGUGGGGAGCAAACAGGAUUAGAUACCCGUGUAGUC